ensembl:lncRNA
AUUGGGUGUGUGUAUAAGGUGUGUGUAUUGGGUGUGUAUAUAGGGUGUGUGUAUAGGGUGUGUGUAUAGGGUGUGUGUAUUGGGUGUGUGUAUAAGGUGUGUGUAUUGGGUGUGUAUAUAGGGUGUGUGUAUAGGGUGUGUGUAUAGGGUGUGUGUAUAGGGUGUGUAUAGGGUGUGUGUAUAGGGUGUGUGUAUUGGGUGUGUAUAUAGGGUGUGUGUAUAGGGUGUGUGUAUAGGGUGUGUAUAUAGGGUGUGUGUAUAGGGUGUGUGUAUAGGGUGUGUAUAUAGGGUGUGUGUAUAAGGUGUGUGUAUUGGGUGUGUAUAUAGGGUGUGUGUAUAGGGUGUGUGUAUAGGGUGUGUAUAUAGGGUGUGUGUAUAGGGUGUGUGUAUAGGGUGUGUAUAUAGGGUGUGUGUAUAGGGUGUGUGUAUAGGGUGUGUGUAUAGGGU